UGCCUUAGUACCGGGCAUCCUCCGGAAGCCAAGGGCACUUUGUUUUGGUAUGCAUGCUAAAAUUAUCACCACAUUUAUUCCAUUUUAGAUGGAGAGUGCCUUCCGUAGUAUAUGGGCUGUACCAACCAAGGUUAUCUUAUAAUCAUCAUCAUUAUCAU